rnacentral:rRNA from 1 species
AGAGUUUGAUCCUGGCUCAGGAUGAACGCUGGCGGCGUGCCUAAUACAUGCAAGUCGAGCGGACGGACGAGAAGCUUGCUUCUCUGAUGUUAGCGGCGGACGGGUGAGUAACACGUGGAAAACCUACCUAUAAGACUGGGAUAACUUCGGGAAACCGGAGCUAAUGCCGGAUAAUAUUUUGAACCGCAUGGUUCAAAAGUGAAAGACGGUCUUGCUGUCACUUAUAGAUGGAUCCGCGCUGCAUUAGCUAGUUGGUAAGGUAACGGCUUACCAAGGCAACGAUGCAUAGCCGACCUGAGAGGGUGAUCGGCCACACUGGAACUGAGACACGGUCCAGACUCCUACGGGAGGCAGCAGUAGGGAAUCUUCCGCAAUGGGCGAAAGCCUGACGGAGCAACGCCGCGUGAGUGAUGAAGGUCUUCGGAUCGUAAAACUCUGUUAUUAGGGAAGAACAUAUGUGUAAGUAACUGUGCACAUCUUGACGGUACCUAAUCAGAAAGCCACGGCUAACUACGUGCCAGCAGCCGCGGUAAUACGUAGGUGGCAAGCGUUAUCCGGAAUUAUUGGGCGUAAAGCGCGCGUAGGCGGUUUUUUAAGUCUGAUGUGAAAGCCCACGGCUCAACCGUGGAGGGUCAUUGGAAACUGGAAAACUUGAGUGCAGAAGAGGAAAGUGGAAUUCCAUGUGUAGCGGUGAAAUGCGCAGAGAUAUGGAGGAACACCAGUGGCGAAGGCGACUUUCUGGUCUGUAACUGACGCUGAUGUGCGAAAGCGCGGGG